UUGAUACCAUUAUUGAAUAGAGUUGACAGAAAACAGGAGAAAUUGCAUGAAACUUCUACUUCACCAUUUAUAUGUGUUUAUGUAGGACAAUAUGCAGCCAAGCAUAUAUUAAAUAAAAUUAAAAGGAAUAUAUGAAGGUUCAACGACUAGUAGGUGAGUACUUUAUUUACAAUAAGCCUACCACGAAACCCUGCAAUCAUUUAUUGAUUGAUGACAUAGUCUGAACCCUUUUGAAAAAAAAGG
rnacentral:ncRNA from 1 species